rfam:TPA: Bos taurus chromosome 12, whole genome shotgun sequence.
UCCCUGGUGGCUUAUAUGGUAAAGAAUCUGCCUGCAAUGCAGGAGACCCUGGUUCGAUCCCUGGGUUGGGAA